GCACCCGGCGGGACGGGAGCGGCUGCGGGAGCUGCCGGCCCCAUCGCUGCUCCCGGGCCGUGAUGUAUCCGCAGGGUGGCCCGGGUCCCGGCUUCCAGGCCCGAGUACCCCCACCACGAUGAGACGGCGCUCCUGUCCCGAGGGCUGCACAUGAGAUACGGAUUAUAACAAAGCAUCACUUCAACCACAAAUAGAAAGCAGCCGCCUCCGGGAUCCAUUGCUACAGCAUCUGACAGCUUGCAGCCAUACCACAGAACAGCUUAGGACAGGAAGCGAUCUCCUCUUACAAAUUACAGGAGUGAAUUUACAUAGGGCAAAUGCUUCCCGUUUUGUAGAGACCAGAGCGAGACCGCAUACGGCAGCGGCUGAGCACCUCGCAGCUCUCCAAACCCUUCCCGACGUGCUGCCGUUUCCCAGAGGGAGGAAACCUGUGCCUCCCAGGGCGCCCGGCAGGGUCAGGGUCAGCCAGACCAGCAGGGAGCACGGCUGUGGUGCUGCACCCUAUAGCACACGUUCGGGAUGGUCCGAGGAUCUCGCAGCUCAGCCCUCUGUGCAGAGGUUUUUUUCCCCACUCAGUCAUUUCAUCCACGUUUGGCAGCUCAGCAGUCCUUUGCCUGGGUAAAAAUCUGCAAGGCUUUGACAGGGAACACAGACAGCAGUGAGAGCAAAAACAUUAGAGGCACAUCCUUGGCUUUCAGUGAGUACAAGUACAUAUGCCACAACAUUUGCCUUCCCCAAGUUAAAUACAGAUCGGUGCAUCCUCAGUGCCUUGCAGCGAGCUUUGUGACUGAAAUAUCUUGUUCGAGUCCAGCCUCGCUUCAGAGGAAGCAGGCGAUCAAAUUUCUUUAUGUCCUUUGAUCCGGAUCCUUGCUGCAAAUGACACCAGCAAGGAAGGAGAAAUGGGAAAAGAAGUGCACAACUAUUAAGAAAUCAAAUAGUGAGUUUAAUUCAGCCAGUCCCAACUGAACUGAGAAUUCCCCGGGGAAAACAAAACUGCCACGGGAAACACAGAACAUACGUUGUUUCUUUGACAGUUGGCAAUAACAACCAUGUGAAAAGGUGAGAGCGACAUUUCUGCCUCUUCUGAAGUACAAAAGGUUCCACACGUUCUGAAAGGUUCUCAAAGUUCCCCUUGUCAUUUUUACUGGAUGUGUAAAUUCUGGAGGUCGGGACAGCAGAUCUGUGUUCUCUGAUGCGAGUUUGAGUCAGAUGCCCGUGCUGAAAUGUUUUACAGAUGAAGAAGCAUCUGUAAAGAAAAACCCGGGGCUUCUUGGUAUGGUUCAAACUAGCCCAUAAUCCUGAAGAACCUCCCCCAAAAAAUCCACCCUAUUAUUAUGUUGAAGAACAUGAGCCCAUCUUUCCCAGCAGCCCAACUUGGGCUUAAGGGAGAAGUAGGCAGAAUCAGUCCACCGAGAACUCUGGGCCAGCCGUGAUGGGGGAGCUGGCUGGACAGCACGGCUGAGUUUUUCUUAGCACUGAAAUACUUUUUCCAAAGCAAUACCAAAAAAGGUUUGUUUCUAGGUCAAGACCUCAGCACUAAAUUUUAACCAGGAGUUGACAGUCAAGCUUUAACACAGCCGUAAAAUGGAUUCACGGUAGAAGCUCAGGCAUUCUUUUUCUAAUUAGGAAACAGUCCCCAAGCCUCGUGCAUUUAAAGGUGAGAGCUAUUUUUGACAUAAAAGUUAGCACGUAGUUCCUGUGUCACCCUUCAGUCGCUGUUCUGGAAGCUGUGAGUGAGAGAUCAAGGAUAAGCAUAGCAAGCAUAAAUAUGAUGCAUUAAAUAACACGUAGAAAGGGACUUAGUUCAAGUUUUCCUCUGCCUGCCAAUAAUGCAAGGGGAUGAUUUAUUUUUACACUUAGUAUUUAUCCUAAGCAGCAAUGGUUAGAAGAUCCACAUAAGCACAAAGAAAGAAAUAGAUCCGAAAGCCAUUUACAAAUGUGAAGUGCUUUUAAUAGCUGCCUUUCAAAAUGCUGUUAAAUCUGAUUGUGAGAUGGAUAGUCUAAGGCACCAAGGAAGCAAGGCAGUUUGCAGAAGGACUUUGUGCCAAACAACCAUGGUCUUCUCUUUGAGAACUCAGCUCUCAUAUGGGGAUCCUGGGGAGGAGGGUCAGAAACAAACUGAACACACAAUGCUUUCAGAAACCUGCCUGUUCUUUAUAUGCUCAUUUUCCUUCUUUAUUUGGUGAGAAUCUCAACAGCUCUGGCUGUUUUCAGCAGUUCUCAAAAUGUGUCUCAGUGACCAUUUCUAAAAUAAAAGUCAGUGAAGAGUGAACAGAACUACAGAGGCUUAUCGGCACCGUUAAUGCCACGCGCUGAUCCCCUGCAGGCCCUGCCCCUUUAUGUAACAGGGAUUGUUUCAGCUAAAACAGCUUAUUGCUCUUUGGUGUUUUUCUUUAAAUGCAGACAUUAGAUACCUCCCUCCUUCUGACACUGAAACCCUUAGAAUCAUAGAAUUACCCAGGUUGGAAAAGACCUUGAAGAUCAUCAAGUCCAACCGCAGCCUUCUUCUGACCCUUGUAAGAGGGGAAAAAUGCAAUGGGAAUCAAAACGUAACCUAAGAGAAUAACACAGAUAUGCUUUUCUCUCUUGCCGGUGAUCUACCUUUGAAGAAAAACCCUCACCAAUUUACAUCUCUCAGGUGCAACUCCCCAAUGCCAACAACACGUGAGGCCCACCCCUCAUCUCUCCUCAGCCCAAAUACCUCCUGAGAGUUGUGGAUACUGCAAGCAAAGAAGAGAACAGCCUGGGAAGGCCCCUGGCACAGCCUGAUGGCGGCUUUGGCAGCCGUGCUGCAGUACUUACUUCCUGCUGGCCCACCUCCCCGGAAGCAUCCAGCCAGCACCACGGCGUCACUCCAGCUCUCCAUGCGCAGAGCUCAGGGACACCCAAACUUCAUCUAAGGGUCAUCUCUGCAGUUUACCCAGAUCCAGAAUGCCGUACCUACUACGUAAAACUGGUGCAAGUUGGUAUCACUGCGAUGGGUAACAGAGAUGGCUUGGAAACUACACAACCCAACAUGCAACGCCCGUCAGCACGGGCUGCUCUACGCUAAGGGAGGAAGGAUUUUUGCUGGGGUGCAUUCAACUCACAUGCCUCAUGUUGGCCGUAUCAGCCUAAGUCAUGCAGCUGUCUGCACGCAACGCUCUACACAGUGCAAAAACGAAGACGUCUAUACAUCUGGAGUAAGAACAGUGGUAACAAAGUCAUAGCUACAUAUUCUUCUCUACAUUUUUGUUUAUUGAGACAAACUAAUUAAAAGGCACAAACAUAGGGCAUAUGUUUACAUGGACAUUAUAACAAACAUAUACAUUAAAAGUGUAGGAAUGUGUUUCCUUUCUGCUAAACAGAAAGUUCCUAAGCUUUUAUAUAUACAAAAGUUGUACAAUUUGAUGUCCUAAAGUACAAAAGAUCAUUUAUAAAAUUAUUUUACACUAAGCUCUUUUUUUUUUGUUGUUUUUGUUUUACUAUGUAGUCCAAGCCCCUAGAACAGUUUCACGUAAUGAUGCGGAUACCUGUCACCUGACCCAGCAGCCUGGCAAUCACUGCUUGUACUGACACGGCAGGGUAGGAACGGAAGCGGUCCAUUUGACUAGUCAGUCCUGCUAGCACUCUGUGAAAAUGCGCACACGCUAAUCUCCAUAGCUUUCAGCUUCAUUAAAAUAAAAACAUCUCAACUCAUUAUUAUUAUUAUUUCUUUUUUUUUGUGUUUUGUUUUUUUUUUUAAUGUAGAGUCUUGGUUUUAGGGUGGGGUGGUUGGUUUGGGUUGGUUGUUUUUUUGUUGUUUUUUUUUGCUGUUUUUUUUUUUAAACAAAGUUUUAAAAAUGUGAAUAUGUGACAUGAUAGUCUAAAAAGUAUAUCUGUUUCCCUAGAUUUUGCUUUCUACGUUAUGUACAGAUAAACAGGUUAAGAAAUAAAAAGCACA